rnacentral:rRNA from 1 species
UGUUAGUCUUGAGUACGGUCAAGGUAGGCGGAAUGUGUAAUGUAGCGGUGAAAUGCUUAGAUAUUACACAGAACACCGAUUGCGAAGGCAGCUUACUGGGCCAUUACUGACGCUGAUGCACGAAAGCGUGGAGAGCGAACAGGAUUAGAUACCCUGGUAGUCCACGCCGUAAACGAUGAUCACUCGCUGUUGGCGAUACACAGUCAGCGGCUAAGCAAAAGCAUUAAGUGAUCCACCUGGGGAGUACGGCCGCAAGGCUGAAACUCAAAGGAAUUGACGGGGGCCCGCACAAGCGGAGGAACAUGUGGUUUAAUUCGAUGAUACGCGAGGAACCUUACCUGGGCUUAAAUGUAGAGUGCAUGGGGUAGAAAUAUCCCUUUCCUUCAGGACUCUUUACAAGGUGCUGCAUGGUUGUCGUCAGCUCGUGCCGUGAGGUGUCGGGUUAAGUCCCAUAACGAGCGCAACCCUUAUCGUUAGUUGCCAGCGGGUAAUGCCGGGAACUCUAACGAAACUGCCGGUGUAAACCGUGAGGAAGGUGGGGAUGACGUCAAAUCAGCACGGCCCUUAUGUCCAGGGCUACACACGUGUUACAAUGGCCGGUACAGAGGGCAGCUACCUGGAGACAGGAUGCGAAUCUCGAAAGCCGGUCUCAGUUCGGAUCGGAGUCUGCAACUCGACUCCGUGAAGCUGGAUUCGCUAGUAAUCGCGCAUCAGCCAUGGCGCGGUGAAUACGUUCCCGGGCCUUGUACACACCGCCCGU